UGGUGGAGUGAUUUGUCUGGUUAAUUCCGUUAACGAACGAGACCUCGACCUGCUAAAUAGUACUUUGAACCGCCUCGCUGCGGUUCUUUGUUUACUUCUUAGAGGGACUAUCGGUGUAUAGCCGGUGGAAGUUCGAGGCAAUAACA
rnacentral:rRNA from 1 species